ensembl:lncRNA
AAUUAUAUGAUAUCAUAAUUAUCCCUUAAUCAGUGAUGCAAAAGCUUUGAUUGUGCACGCAUGUGGGCCCAACACACACACACACACACACACACACACACACACGCACACGCACACACACACAAAAACAUUGAUAUUCCCCUGGUAAGACGGGCCAGGCAUCUCUGAGCACUUUACUGGUCCAGUUUUAAGGACACAAUCGCACGCCAGCCAGCACCGGGGUUACUACUUGACUUACAUCCAAACCGCAUGAGGACGGAACAACUUGAAGCACAAUGAGCUCUUUCCUUGAGUUAAAUAGUUCAACGUCUCAUCAGUCUUUAGGAUUGUGUUGUAGUUUGCCCAUGUAGAGGAGGUAGUUGUGCUCUUAUUUAGGAUGUAGUUUAGCUUUGGGUUUCUAGUGUUGUUUAAUUUCAAUCAUUUUCAAAGAGUAGUCUACACAGGUGGAACAUCUCCUUCAGGGCUUGGGGCUGGGUUGUCUUAAAAAAACACACUGAAGUGUUAAAAAGUGACACGCGUGACACACAAAUCUGACAAUUAUAUCCCCCUUGGACCUUGUUUUAGGAGAUAUACUGUGUCUUAUUUAGAUUAUAGUGCAGAUAGUGUAGAAAACCUGUUUGCGGUUCCAGACUUUAUGCAAUAGCGCCCUCUGCCGGGGCAGAACCAAACCGCGGCCCAACACAAUUCAAAGAUGACUUCAGCUUGAGAUUUUACCACCUCUUUUGCUCCUAAGACGUUCGACAAUGUUUACAUUUCGUGAUCAAACGUCAUGUUGAACGAAUUCAUCUCUUUACCCAAAGUGAAUUGUAUCCAUUAAUCAGAAUAUCAAUCAUAUUCUUAAUCAGACUGAUCGGUCUAGCCUCUCAUCUCUUCGUCUCUCCUGCUGUCUUCUCUUUAACCCUCCUAACUUUUCUUAUGCUAUGUCAACCCCUUCUCUCUCCUUGUCUCUCCCCUUUCUUCUCCUCCUCUCUUCUCUCGCCUCUACUCCAUUCCUCUCCCCCUCAUCUCCCCAGUGGUUUGGUUCAGUGUCCUGCAGAGAGUUCUAGAAAGUUCUUGAAUGUUUAUAGGGGGAAGAAGGGGUUGGGGGGUUCUGGGCUAGGUAGUUUAUCAGAGCUCCCAUGACAGUCAAAUGUUAGGAAGUCUCUCUGUUCAGGGAAAACGGUGCUGGCUGGCGAUCCCCUUCAGGUCGGAUGAGAGAAGGACAGUAGGACAAGGUGGUUGUGGAGGAGAGAGGACACCUAUAAUAUCAGCGCACACACACACACACACACACACACACACACACACACACACACACACGCACACACACACACACACACACACAUACACACACAGCCAAUCUACAUCAACACACAGACACACAUUAGCGGUGUGCCUCCACUUCCUCUCCCAUCACCUCGUCCUCACCUUUCCUCUUCCUGUCUGAACAAGCUCUUACUCUGUUCCCUAGAGAUGCCUGGUGUCCAAUGAAAAAGCUCCGGUCAGACCAGCUACCAUUGGCUGGCUGAGGGCUGAUCUCCUGGUAAUGUCCCGCUGUGUGUCGUUUGUUGCUGUGCUAUUCUAGUGUGCCUGCCUGCUGAGACGGGCCAAUGUGAGGGGCCGGCUUGGGCUGUCAGUCAGGCCCAGACUCCACCCCCUUAUUGUCUCAGAUCAUGUUGACUGGAUGAGGGUGAUGACGAUGAUGAUGAUGGUAGUCAUGACGAUGAAGACAGAUUGUUUUUACCCGCCGAAAUUGUCCUGGCGGAAAGCGUUGCAAUACACCUAUUAUUUGCCUUCUUUAGACGAUCUAAGUAAUAUUUUAUCCUAGCGUUAUAAAUGUAUUUACUGUUGUUUUAUAUUGUUGCCCAUUCUCUUUUAAGAAAAUACAUUUUAUUUUAUUUAGUUUUUUAUUAUUAUUCCAACACGUUUUGCUGUUUCAACGAACAUUGUCUUAAGGCCUCCCAAAACGAAAAUCUUCUGUUUCAAUCACGAGUAACAAGCCGAGAGAUUUUCGGGCUCCUUCCCUCCACACUUGAGAUAUAUUUCCUAUCAACUAGCACACGUGUUCACUAACAACUGAGCUUGUUGACUGAGAAACAAUUCACAGAGAGGGAGAGAGUGACAGAUGAUAUCCUAUCCUCCUCAACUCAAAGUUUAACUCCAGCAGCAGCCCUCAUGUGAGAAAGCUGUUAUGUAAUGUAUGCAAAUGACCCCCACUUCCUGAAAUACAGGCCUGUUUAGUCAACACUUUGUUAUGUUAAGUGCACUUGUUCCCUCAGGGGUCUUGUCUUUCUUUGUUGUUACUUUGGUACAGAGGGUUUGGAAAGGCUGCCAGAGUCAGGGGCCAGAACACAAGUGUUUUCAUCAUGCACACUCGUACGUUUCAGACCAUUGUCUGCUGCUCUUGAGAAGUCCUAGUGACAUAACAGUUCCCAGUUGUUCUUGGAUACCAAACAGUCUCCUGGGCUUUCAGACAUGUCUAGCAGGAGAACAAAACCUUCCGGCAGACAUGUUGUAAGAGGUUUUUAGUGGAUCUCCGAUGCUCCAAGGUCUUCCUUGGGGCUUGGCUACUGUUACCAGAUCCCAACCACCACCAGAGAUUAAGAGGGAGAAGGCCAUUUUAAGGCCAAGUCCAAGCCCCUUAGCAACAUCUACCCCAGAGAGAAGCCCACGUAACGGGUCAACCGUUACGUAGCAACAUCUGUGAAGGUGUUUGGGAUCUCUGAGGAUCCAUUUCGUCCAAUUGCAGCACACUCACAUGUACUUGCACAACCACACAAAAGACCGACCACAACAGCUUUCUGUUGUUCAAAACCCAUUCAACCCUUUCCUAAGUAUCAGCGACCUAUCUCUAUCUCUCUGACCUUAACUGUUGUGCCCUGAGAUUCUGUAUGGAUUUUCAACAUGAAAGCACAACCUUCCCAAAGGAGUUUGGAACAUCAUGCAGCAACUAUAGCAGGGCUAUACAGGUGAAUACACUUAAUACCUUUCUGUUCUUAAAAUCAGCGCUAGCGAUGCGCCUUUAUUUUGACAACCAGAACACACUCUUGGAAAGCAUCUUCUGAAUGGACAUCUUCUGAUCUCUAGCCAGUUAAUGUGAUGUUUGUUGAAGAGGAACUGUUCUUUUGUUAUGUGUUUUCAUCUUACUCCUUUACUCUGGACUGAACGCGACAACUUUCUUAAUCACAACUAUAUUAACGGCUUACUCUAUCAGACGAUUCAAGUGUUACUGGGCUUGUUAUGUUGUUAUUUUGGAGGACAAUGGCUUCUUAUCGUUACUGUUAUGGAACAUGUUAUGAAUCACACACAUUUCAGUUACCCUUUCAAUUUAAAACAAAUAAAACGUUUUUAUAAAUUAA